UGGGGAAUUUUGGACAAUGGGCGAAAGCCUGAUCCAGCCAUGCCACGUGCAGGAUGAAGGCCUUCGGGUUGUAAACUGCUUUUGUACGGAACGAAAAGACUCUGGUUAAUACCUGGGGUCCAUGACGGUACCGUAAGAAUAAGCACCGGCUAACUACGUGCCAGCAGCCGCGGUAAUACGUAGGGUGCAAGCGUUAAUCGGAAUUACUGGGCGUAAAGCGUGCGCAGGCGGUUAUAUAAGACAGAUGUGAAAUCCCCGGGCUCAACCUGGGAACUGCAUUUGUGACUGUAUAGCUAGAGUACGGCAGAGGGGGAUGGAAUUCCGCGUGUAGCAGUGAAAUGCGUAGAUAUGCGGAGGAACACCGAUGGCGAAGGCAAUCCCCUGGGCCUGUACUGACGCUCAUGCACGAAAAGCGUGGGGAGCAAAACAGGAUUAGAUACCCUGGUAGUCCACGCCCUAAACGAUGUCAACUGGUUGUUGGGUCUUCACUGACUCAGUAACGAAGCUAAACGCGUGAAGUUGACCGCCUGGGGAGUACGGCCGCAAGGUUGAAAACUCAAAUGAAUUGACGGGGGAUCAUAGCU
rnacentral:rRNA from 1 species